UACGGGGGGAGCAAGCGUUGUUCGGAUUUACUGGGCGUAAAGGGCGUGCAGGCGGUUUGUUAAGUCUAGGGUGAAAGCUCCCGGCUCAACUGGGAGAGGUCCUUGGAUACUGGCGAACUUGAGGGAUGCAGAGGAAAGUGGAAUUCCCGGUGUAGUGGUGAUAUGCGUAGAUAUCGGGAGGAACACCAGUGGCGAAGGCGGCUUUCUGGGCAUUUCCUGACGCUGAGACGCGAAAGCGUGGGGAGCGAACCGG
rnacentral:rRNA from 1 species